CAGCCUUUGAAAUGGGUUUCUUUUUGAGGCGGGAGACAGUGCUCCAUGGCUGUCUCAGCUGUGUCGUGAGAUGUUGGGUUAAGUCCCGCAACGAGCGCAACCCCUGUCCCAUGUUGCCAACGGGUAGAGCUGGGCACUCUUUGGAGACCGCCGGUGUCAAACCGGAGGAAGGUGGGGAUGACGUCAAGUCCUCAUGGCCCUUAUGCCCAGGGCUACACACGUACUACAAUGGCCGGUACAGAGAGAAGCGAACCCGCGAGGGGGAGCCAACCUCAAAAAGCCGGUCUCAGUUCGGAUUGGAGUUUGCAACUCGACUCCAUGAAGGCGGAAUCGCUAGUAAUCGCGGAUCAGCACGCCGCGGUGAAUCCGUUCCCGGGCCUUGUACACACCGCCCGUCACACCAUGAGAGUCGCUUGUACCAGAAGUGCGUGGGCCAACCCGCAAGGGGGGCAGCGUACCAAGGUAUGGGCGGUGAUUGGGGUGAAGUCGUAACAAGGUA
rnacentral:rRNA from 1 species